rnacentral:rRNA from 1 species
GAUGGAUUCUGAGACACGAAUCCAGGCCCUACGGGGGCGCAGCAGGCGCGAAAACUUUACAAUGCGGGAAACCGUGAUAAGGGAACUCCGAGUGUCCGUAAAUUCGGACUGUCCGUAUGUUUAAAAAGCAUGCGAAGAAAGGGCCGGGCAAGACCGGUGCCAGCCGCCGCGGUAAUACCGGCGGCUCGAGUGGUGGCCACUAUUACUGGGCUUAAAGCGUUCGUAGCUUGGUUGUUAAGUCUCUUGGGAAAUCUAUCGGCUUAACCGAUAGGCGUCCAGGGGAUACUGGCAAUCUAGGGACCGGGAGAGGUGAGGGGUACUUCAGGGGUAGGAGUGAAAUCCUGUAAUCCUUGGGGGACCACCUGUGGCGAAGGCGCCUCACCAGAACGGCUCCGACAGUGAGGGACGAAAGCUGGGGGAGCAAACCGGAUUAGAUACCCGGG